UAGGGAAUCUUCCGCAAUGGGCGAAAGCCUGACGGAGCAACGCCGCGUGAGUGAUGAAGGUCUUCGGAUCGUAAAACUCUGUUAUCAGGGAAGAACAAAUGUGUAAGUAACUAUGCACGUCUUGACGGUACCUAAUCAGAAAGCCACGGCUAACUACGUGCCAGCAGCCGCGGUAAUACGUUGGUGGCAAGCGUUAUCCGGAAUUAUUGGGCGUAAAGCGCGCGUAGGCGGUAUUUUAAGUCUGAUGUGAAAGCCCACAGCUCAACCGUAGAGAGUCAUUGGAAACUGGAAUACUUGAAUGCAAAAGAGGAAAGUAGAAUUCCAUGUGUAGCGGUGAAAUGCGCAGAGAUAUGGAGGAACAACAGUGGCGAAAGCGGCUUACUGAUCAGUAACUGACACUGAUGUGCGAAAGCGUGGGGAUCAAACAGG
rnacentral:rRNA from 1 species